rnacentral:lncRNA from 1 species
CAUCAUCCUCUGUUUGGCUGGCUCGCUGCUGCUCUUCAACGCACACUUUUUGUGACAGCCCGAGACCGAUGCCCCAGAGUAUUCUCCUUUUAUUCCGUUCCUGGCGUGUGAUUAUUUUAUUUGUCGCAUCAUCAUCGCAUCAUGCGCAUCAUCCGCAUUGCAUCGGCACUCCGUUGCCGCCAGUUUUCAAACCUGCACCCUUUGUUAGUUGCCGGUUCUCUCCUUUUUUGUCAUUAUCCGUUUUGAGCCCGACCACACACGCACGCGUCCGCGUCAUCAUUUAAAUCUUUUUUUAAAAGUGUAUUUAAAAUAUUCUCGGAUUGGGAUGAAACUUGGUGUGUGGUCUUACUUUAAUAUAGGUAGGCCGCCUGCCAAAUUUCGUCGCAAUCGGAGUUUGUCUCGUACCCGAACGGUUGACCGUAGCGGCACCGUUGUCGGUUAUUUAUCAGACGUUUUUCGGUGUUUUAAAUCGCGUUGCCGCACUGCACCACUUCCCUCUCAUCUCAGCCAACACCCUGCUACUUCUCAAACAACAGCGCCAGAAAUUGGCACGUUGACGGAGACUUGACUUGCGUUCGUUUUUCCUUGAAGAGGACAGGGUGAUCCAGCACAGGAGCAGUA